AUUGAACGCUGGCGGCAGGCCUAACACAUGCAAGUAGAACGAGUUGCGAACGGGUGAGUAACGCGUGGUAACCUGCCUCAUAGCGGGGGAUAACUAUUGGAAACGAUAGCUAAUACCGCAUACUUUGAGAUGGACCUGCGGUGGAUUAGCUAGUUGGGGAGGUAAAGGCUCACCAAGGCGACGAUCCCUAGCUGGUCUGAGAGGAUGACCAGCCACACGGGAACUGAGACACGGUCCAGACGCCUACGGGAGGCAGCAGUGGGGAAUAUUGCACAAUGGGCGCAAGCCUGAUGCAGCCAUGCCGCGUGUAUGAAGAAGGCCUUCGGGUUGUAAAGUACUUUCAGCGGGGAGGCGUUACCAGCAGAAGAAGCACCGGCUAACUCCGUGCCAGCAGCCGCGGUAAUUC
rnacentral:rRNA from 1 species